CCUACGGGAGGCUGCAGUGGGGAAUAUUGGACAAUGAGGGGCAACCCUGAUCCAGCCAUGCCGCGUGUGUGAAGAAGGCCCUCGGGUUGUAAAGCACUUUCAGUGAGGAAGAACGCCUGGUGGUUAAUACCCAUCAGGAAAGACAUCACUCACAGAAGAAGCACCGGCUAACUCCGUGCCAGCAGCCGCGGUAAUACGGAGGGUGCGAGCGUUAAUCGGAAUUACUGGGCGUAAAGCGCGCGUAGGUGGCUUGAUAAGCCGGUUGUGAAAGCCCCGGGCUCAACCUGGGAACGGCAUCCGGACCUGUCAAGCUAGAGUGCAGGAGAGGAAGGUAGAAUUCCCGGUGUAGCGGUGAAAUGCGUAGAGAUCGGGAGGAAUACCAGUGGCGAAGGCGGCCUUCUGGACUGACACUGACACUGAGGUGCGAAAGCGUGGGUAGCAAACAGGAUUAGAUACCCGAGUAGUC
rnacentral:rRNA from 1 species